rnacentral:snRNA from 1 species
UGACUCUGGUUUCUCUUCAUUACGCACAAGCCUUUCGCCUUUUACUAAGACUUCCGUGGAGAGGAACACUUACGAGUUCCACGUAUUUUUGGAGCGGCUUUGCUUCUUGGCAGAGG